UCAUGAAGUGAGCCUUAUGGAUAAAUUUG
rnacentral:piRNA from 1 species